rnacentral:rRNA from 1 species
AUUGAACGCUGGCGGCAGGCCUAACACAUGCAAGUCGAACGGUAGCACAGAGAGCUUGCUCUCGGGUGACGAGUGGCGGACGGGUGAGUAAUGUCUGGGAAACUGCCUGAUGGAGGGGGAUAACUACUGGAAACGGUAGCUAAUACCGCAUAACGCCGCAAGACCAAAGAGGGGGACCUUCUGGCCUCUUUCCAUCGGAUGUGCCCAGAUGGGAUGAGCUAGUAGGUGGGGUAAUGGCUCACCUAGGCGACGAUCCCUAGCUGGUCUGAGAGGAUGACCAGCCACACUGGAACUGAGACACGGUCCAGACUCCUACGGGAGGCAGCAGUGGGGAAUAUUGCACAAUGGGCGCAAGCCUGAUGCAGCCAUGCCGCGUGUAUGAAGAAGGCCUUCGGGUUGUAAAGUACUUUCAGCGGGGAGGAAGGGGUUGAGUUUAAUACGCUCAAUCAUUGACGUUACCCGCAGAAGAAGCACCGGCUAACUCCGUGCCAGCCGCCGCCGUAAGAC